GCGCAUAAAGGUUUGGUCCUAGCCUUACUGUUAGAUUUGAUUAGAUUUAUACAUGCAAGUAUCCGCAACCCAGUGAGAAUACCCUAAAAACUCUUAACAAGUUAGAAGGAGUAGAUAUCAGGCACACUAAAGUAGCCCACAACAUCUUGCCCUAGCCACACCCCCACGGGACACAGCAGUAAUAGAAAUUAGUCAAUAAACGCAAGUUUGAACAAGUCAUAAUCAAUAAGAGUCGGUAAAUUUCGUGCCAGCCACCGCGGUCAUACGAUUGACUCAACCUAACAAAUAACGGUGUAAAACGUGUUUAAAAACUUAAACUAAUAAGAUUAAAGUAGAACUAAACUGUGAUAAGUCAUAGUUAAUACUAAAGCCAUCUACGAAAGUGAUCUUAGACUAAUUGAAUACACGAUAGCUAAGGUACAAACUGGGAUUAGAUACCCCACUAUGCUUAGCCCUAAACUCAAGUCGUUUAAUAACAAAACUACUCACCAGAGAACUACUAGCAACAGCUUAAAACUCAAAGGACUUGGCGGUGCUUCACCCCUCUAGAGGAGCCUGUUCUAUAAUCGAUAAACCCCGAUACACCUCACCAUCUUUUGCCACUACUGUCUAUAUACCGCCAUCGUCAGCCAACCCUAAAAAGGAACAAAAGUAGGCGUAAUCAUUUUUCAUAAAAACGUUAGGUCAAGGUGUAGCCUAUAAGAUGGAAGAAAUGGGCUACAUUUUCUACAUUAGAACAUACGAAAAACUCUAUGAAACUAGAGUAUUAAGGAGGAUUUAGUAGUAAGCCAAGAAUAGAGAGCUUGACUGAACUGGGCAAUGAAGCACGCACACACCGCCCGUCACCCUCCUCAAUCAAGCAACACAAACAUUCCUAAAAUCCCAACGCUUUUCAAGAGGAGAUAAGUCGUAACAAGGUAAGCAUACCGGAAGGUGUGCUUGGAAUAUCAAAAUG
rfam:Ornithorhynchus anatinus mitochondrial DNA, complete genome